rnacentral:rRNA from 1 species
UAGGGAAUAUUGCACAAUGGGCGAAAGCCUGAUGCAGCAACGCCGCGUGCGCGAUGAAGGCCUUCGGGUCGUAAAGCGCUUUUCGGGGAGAUGAGGAAGGACAGUAUCCCCGGAAUAAGGCUCGGCUAACUACGUGCCAGCAGCCGCGGUAACACGUAGGAGCCAAGCGUUAUCCGAAUUCACUGGGCGUAAAGCGCGUGCAGGCGGCUCGAUAAGUUGGAUGUGAAAGCUCCCGGCUCAACUGGGAGAGGACGUUCAAUACUGUCGGGCUAGAGGACGGCAGAGGAAGGUGGAAUUCCCGGUGUAGUGGUGAAAUGCGUAGAUAUCGGGAGGAACACCAGUGGCGAAGGCGGCCUUCUGGGCCGAACCUGACGCUCAGACGCGAAAGCUAGGGGAGCGAAC